CAAUGUUAUGCUGAUUAUCAUAAAACUGGUUAAGAAAAUAAUAAUAUUGAUUUACAAUAGUAUAAAUAUCUAUUUAUUUAAAUGAGAGAAAGAGAAACAGUAACUAUGACAGCAGCUUGCCUGGCAUCAACAUUGAGAAACCAGGCAGCUGAUGUAAGUCUAACCUGCAUGAUCACUUUAGUUGGUUCAUGCCUCUGCAGAAAGGAAAGAAAUCUGGUGUCUGGGUGAUCUCAAAAGGCAGCCAAAGGCUUCAAAUGGCAGGAAGCUGGCAGUGGUCUUGUUUGUUGUUGUCACUCUCUCCAAAUAAAGACAAUGCAAGUAAGCUUAUGCAGGUGUUUAAUCUUGGGCUUAUUCUGGAUAUACCUUUGCUGAAAGCAAAGGUGCUUGCCAUAAUGAGCUUUAAAAAAGUUGGCUUGAAACUAUAAACAUUGUGACUAUGACAUAGAACUAAUAAUUGAAAGUACAAUUCAAAGUAGUGGAUCACUUGGUUCAUUGUCAAUGAAGAAUGCAAUCAACUGUGAGACUUGUGAAUUGCAGGAUACAGUGAACACCGAUUCAUCAAAUGACAUUGUGGCCUUAGGUCGUUCCUGUGGCCUUGCAUCUGAGAAUCAGCUAUAUUCAAAGGGAUACUCUGCAUACUCAGCAGAAUGUAUCAUAAUGAAAAAAAUGUUCAUAGUGUUCAUAAUGUUCAUCUUCCAAAGCUAGGGAUAUCUGGUUUCUAUGAAUAGAAUGAGUGCCAUUCUGCUAUCCUUUAAAAUGCAUCUUUAGACACUUAUUAUAUAAUAUAAUUAAAUAAAUUUGUGAUACAUUCUAUCUUAUUCUUACAAAUUUUCAAAUCCAAA
rnacentral:lncRNA from 1 species